GUGCACGCUGGCGGUAGGCCUAACACAUGCAAGUCGAACGGCAGCACAGUAAGAGCUUGCUCUUACGGGUGGCGAGUGGCGGACGGGUGAGGAAUACAUCGGAAUCUACUUUUUCGUGGGGGAUAACGUAGGGAAACUUACGCUAAUACCGCAUACGACCUACGGGUGAAAGCAGGGGAUCUUCGGACCUUGCGCGAUUGAAUGAGCCGAUGUCGGAUUAGCUAGUUGGCGGGGUAAAGGCCCACCAAGGCGACGAUCCGUAGCUGGUCUGAGAGGAUGAUCAGCCACACUGGAACUGAGACACGGUCCAGACUCCUACGGGAGGCAGCAGUGGGGAAUAUUGGACAAUGGGCGCGAGCCUGAUCCAGCCAUACCGCGUGGGUGAAGAAGGCCUUCGGGUUGUAAAGCCCUUUUGUUGGGAAAGAAAAGCAGCAGGUUAAUACCCCGCUGUUCUGACGGUACCCAAAGAAUAAGCACCGGCUAACUUCGUG
rnacentral:rRNA from 1 species